AGCGGCACGGAUGCCGCUGGUUCUAAACAGUAACCAGUUUGCUUGCAAACUGGCAGCCCAAAAAUGAACAAGGAUGUUCAUUUUUGGGCGUGC
rfam:Treponema sp. OMZ 838, complete genome.